rnacentral:rRNA from 1 species
CCUACGGGGGGCUGCAGUGGGGAAUAUUGCACAAUGGGGGAAACCCUGAUGCAGCGACGCCGCGUGAGCGAUGAAGUAUUUCGGUAUGUAAAGCUCUAUCAGCAGGGAAGAAAAUGACGGUACCUGAAGAAGAAGCCCCGGCUAACUACGUGCCAGCAGCCGCGGUAAUACGUAGGGGGCAAGCGUUAUCCGGAUUUACUGGGGGGAAAGGUGGCGCAGACGGCGAUGCAAGCCAGGGGUGAAAGCCCGGGGCCCAACCCCGGGACUGCUCUGGGAACUGCGUGGCGGGAGUGCAGGAGGGGCAGGCGGAAUUCCUGGUGUAGCGGUGAAAUGCGUAGAUAUCAGGAGGAACACCGGUGGCGAAGGCGGCCUGCUGGACUGCAACUGACGUUGAGGCCCGAAAGCGUGGGGAGCAAACAGGAUUAGAUACCCUGGUAGUC